rnacentral:tRNA from 1 species
GGAGGAGACGAGCAAACCGCUAGGCUCAGCGGCCUUAAAAGCCGCCAAACUCCUGACCCGAGUUUUGUGGGUUCAACUCCCAUCUCCUCCG